rnacentral:rRNA from 1 species
UCCGAAGGGGACUAGCGUUGUUCGGAAUCACUGGGCGUAAAGCGCACGUAGGCGGAUAUGUCAGUCAGGGGUGAAAUCCCGGGGCUCAACCUCGGAACUGCCCUUGAUACAGCAUAUCUUGAGUCCGAUAGAGGUGGGUGGAAUUCCUAGUGUAGAGGUGAAAUUCGUAGAUAUUAGGAAGAACACCGGUGGCGAAGGCGGCCCACUGGAUCGGUACUGACGCUGAGGUGCGAAAGCGUGGGGAGCAAACAGG